GUGACCUCGGAUCCAG
rnacentral:rRNA from 1 species